CCUGCAGGAGCCAGGCUGCCUGCGAGCUGCAGUUGCCGCCGCUGCCGCUGUCGCGCCACCGCCGCUGUCGCUGUCAGCGCCCGUCUGGAGAGUGACAGCACUGAAAAAGCAGGAGGGAGAACCGAACCCCGUGCCUUUUACGAAACAAGUGCAUGCGCCCAUCUCCUGGCGAGUGGACCCAGCUCGCAAGGUAACCGUUCAUGAGCCUGAGGCUGUGAGAAAUGCUCACUGUGCAAAGGGGAACUCUCACCAGAUUUUCUGAAGCUGUCCUAGAAAUACGGUUUUCAGAUUGAUUCAGCAUUACCAGCUUAUCCGACAAAAGUAUUAACAUAUCCAUUAACAACGUCGAAAGUAGCCUACUUUAAGAGAAAAUAUGCAGAAGAAGAAGAUUUACAUCAGGAUUACCAUGGGUAUUUUCCAAAACACCUGAUAUUACCCGAGGACAGGACUUGUAUUCUCAAACUGUCCCUGGAGAAGCUCAGGUUUCUUGAAGACCCAGAAACCUACUUGAGAAGGUCUGUGUUAAUUAACAAUUUGCUGAGGAAGAUCCACCUAGAGACGGAGAAAGAGAGCUAUGAAUACUUUAAAGAAGCUCCCUGUUAUAAGACUGCUUAUUCUGAUACAAGAAAACGGCUGAAGUUUAUGGUACAGGAAUGCUGUUCUCAGUCUCUCUAUUAUGAAGAGCUGCAUUCGUAUCAUAUUGUGCCUUAUGCUUCGGAGAAUGCCAUUUAUGGAAUGGGCUACACUAGCAGCCACUUGGAGCAAAAUUCUCAGUUGCUUAUUUAUAAAAUGAAUUAAAGUAACUGUUAAGUUCAUUGAUACUUUGUUUCUAAAAUGCCUGAACUGUUUAUAGUGAAGAUGUUAACAUAAGGCACUCUUUACCAGUGCACUUGAGAUCAAAGAUGAGAUGCAUGCUGAACUGAUUGGAGAGAACUCUGGUUAUUACUCAGCAGUCCUUUGUAUUAUCAAGUCAAAUUGGAUAUGUGUCCACAUAUUAUAAAGUGGCAAGUAAGUGCUUUAGAAGCAAAAAAUAAAUAAAUAAAAUUUUUUUAAAGAUAAGGUAUGUUGGAAGAGACCUACAUCAAUAUCUUACACAGAUUUAAACAUUUCAAGCCCACUAUUUCCAAAUUCUGCCACUUAUAGUGGAAAGUAACAAAAAGUAACAGAUUAAACCCAUAAAAUCUUGUCCCUGAGGACUGAGGGUGGAACAAAUUUACGGUAAUUUUCCGUAAAUGAGGAGGAGAGGAAUAGGUUCUUUCUGAAAAGCUUUGGCUCGUCAAGCAUUGUGCCAAAUAAUUAUUUGACACCAUUCUCCUUUUACCAUUAGUGGCAAUUCAAGAUGGGGCAAAUAAGCUGUAACUUAACUGCUGAAUGUAACAACCAGACUACUCCAAACUGAUCCAUCUUACUUUUUUUUUUUUUCCCGCUUGAUCUUCUCUUUAAAAGUGAAAUUUAAUAAAAUAGCCUUGUGGAUGGGCUUAUCUCUAAGUUCUAAGGGUGGUUAAAAUUUGUGGUGGGCCUUUAGUUAAGAGUUUAAAUUUUAUUUAUGAUGUCAUUUUUAUAGGCUGUGAAGCUCAGGAAAAGGGUAAGCAGGUAAAAUUUGUUUUUAAUAAGUUGAUAAUUUAAAAAAAUCUUAUCUGCAAAAAUUGGCGAGAAUGACAGAAAUUCUACAUGAUGUUAUUUCUUCAUCUAAGAGUGCAUUUAAGGCUGCCUGGAUGAAACUUUGCACUGAUUUUUGUAUAAUAGUCGACCAUUCACUAUUUGACAAAAUGUUUCAGAAUGCCUGUGAAGGUGACGUUUAGAGAUAAGUCCCUAUAUUUUGCAACUUGAAAGAUAAUUAUUUAACAAGUUGAAUAGAUUCCUGAAAUUGUUCGAAGUGGUUCAUAAUGUUCUUUGAGUUUUGAGUGAGAUGUUUGAUUUCAAUGUCUGGAGUUAUGUCCCAUGAAGUAUAUCUUGUCACUAACUGAUAAAACAGAUUGGGAAAACUAGGUGCCAAAGGUAUAUUCAAGAAAACACCAAAGACCCAAAGAUGAGUGUUAGAGAGACUAUGACAAUGAAGAUAGGAAUCUAAAACAAGGAUGGCACAGGACAUAGGAGAGCAUUGUUAAAAGGUUUUGGAAUGAUUUUCUUACUAAUGUGCUUUCAGAGCACUUUAUACAUGAUAAUGAUAAUCAAGGACACUGCUUUAAACAGAGACAUUAUGAGACUUUAGUGAUCACGUGUUUUGGCCAAUUUAAAUAUGGUGAUUUGUCAACAUUGUCUCUUUCCUAGUUGGAAGCCAUCUUGUAACCAAGAAGGCCUUUUUCUCGUCAAGAGAAUUUUGUUUUUAGUUUUGAUUCACUACUUGCUCCCUCUAAUGAAUCAUAGGGGUGAUUAACAUGGAUGCUUUGAGUAUAAAGAAUGUUAGUACUCUAAUUAGCAUGCAUUGUUGAAGACCACAUAGAUAUAUAAUUGAUAAAAGUAUCAGGUUUAUAUUUAAUUGCUCAAUCAAAAUUAGGAAAAAAUGCUUUAGAACAAACUAAAAAAUUAUAAUUGAGGCUAAUUUGUAAAGGCAGUUUAGUAUGAAUGGUGAGAUAGCUUUGAAAUACAAAUAUAAAUAUUUAAAAAUUAAGUCAAGGGCAAAAAUUUGGCACCAAAGUUGAAAAACUUUAUUUUACUGCUUAUAAAAUAUCUUAUUUCUCAAAAUGCUUCUUUUAAAAUGUCGAUUUCUUAAGCAAUGGGGAUAUUAAUUGAAUAUAUUCCAAAUAUGAUAGGAUAAUUAUAUUAUCGUAUAACUAAAAAAUAGAAUUAGCUUUCUAAUAGUUUAAAAUUCUUUACUGAGAAGAACAUUUGGCUUGGUUUAGGACAGUGUCCAUAAGAAAAACACACCAGUGCUAACAGAAGUAAGUUAAAAAAUGUCACAUAUUAAAAUUGCUUGAGGAGAGAAAUGCAAAUACUUUGGAAUAGAAAAGAGAGGGAGUG